UGACAUCCCAGUCAAAUUCAAGACCAAUGAGACGCUGCCACAUGUAAAAAUAAUGUGGAAAUCUCAUUCAAAUUCAACAACCAGUCAAAAGGCGCCAAGUGGCAAAGUGACUUGUUUUGGCCAAUCACAAGCAACUAGCCCUACCCCUACAACUAUAAAUAGGGGAGUAACAUAACAUUCUAAAAUGAAGAAAAGAAAAAGGAGGACAUUCUGCAAGCAUUGGAGGAAGCUUGUGCAUUGACUACACAGCUCUUCAAUGAAUUGACUAACGGAGUUCUGCCCGGAGAUCAACUCGACACGAAGAAGUGCUGUCAGACAAUUCCUGGAGAUCCAAACACAUUUCUAGGAGGCUCAAAUCAUCCUACAUUCGAGAAUCACGCUGCAAAGGUCCGAGAAUCACGGAAAAAACUUAGGAGAGAAGAAUCGAGAGAAUAACGGAAUUGUACCCGCAAAAUUACUUUAAAUAAAAUUAUUCUUUUUGUUUAUUUUAUUUUUACUUGCAUUUAAUAUUCAGCGUUAACGAAAAUUUGUUGCGAACAGUCACCUGUAACUGGUUUACACCUAUUAAGACUUGUUAUGAGAGCUUUUUGAUUUUGGUAACUAACGAUUCUCGGCUGCUCUCCUAUAAUGUUAGGACAAAGAAGACGAGGCUUCUUGAAUUUCGUCAUCCGGGCCUAAGGAGUAGUGGCCCAGACGUUGGUGGUUGUGGAAUUUAUUAUUAUAAUGAGAGCUUAGUAACGAUUAAACGACAAGAAAGUAGUGAGCUUGAUCUGAGUGGCUGUUUGACGAAAAUGGUGGCCGAAUAUUAAUUUUCACUUGUAUAUUACAGAUUAAGGGUGUCAUUGAAGAGUUGCUCACAAUUAUUUACACCUAAUCUUCUGGAAGUAAUAUGCAGAUUCAAAGGUAUAAGCAGAGGUCUGCUAACUUCAGGAAUCCAUGACCGGCAUCUGCAUACAGGCUAUUGAGUGCAUCACUGCAGCGGCAUAAAUUCAACAAACUUCGUUCUCCAAGCUGCACUUUUUUAGUUGUUCUUUUUUUCCUUUUUGCUUUAAGUGUCUUGUUGUAUGCAAAGUAAGAGCAAUUUAAGUUGUAUUACACUUCUGUUAGCAGUGUCUAAUGAAUCUAGUCUUCCAAUUUCAACAUGAUGUCCAUUGGUUCAACAAAUCCUUGUACUACAUCUUCUGUUAGCAGUGUACUCAACUUCGAUUCUUGUUGAAAUUAAAUAAACAUCUAAAUUUUAUGCUA